GCAGCAGAUCUCAUAGCGGUGGUGAACAGGCAGGGAGCAGCGCAUAGGGAGGAGGACGUAUGUCGAUUCGCCAAGGUGCUUGCAAAAUUGAAGGAAACGCUGCAAGGGACAGCUUUUAGAUAUUUCGGGGCCUGCCAAUUAGGGCUCCGUUCAGGGUCGAUUACAUCAGGUUUUCAUUCACUGUGAAAUAGAGCCUGCAAUUUAUCCCACAAGAUGGGCAAUCGGGGAAUGGAGGACUUGAUUCCUCUGGUAAACAGACUGCAGGACGCCUUCUCUGCCAUCGGACAAAAUGCCAACCUGGACCUUCCUCAGAUCGCAGUGGUCGGUGGCCAAAGUGCUGGGAAAAGCUCGGUUCUGGAGAACUUCGUUGGGAAGGAUUUUCUGCCCCGUGGCUCUGGUAUUGUCACUCGGCGCCCCCUAGUGCUGCAGCUCAUCAACUGCCCUACUGAAUAUGCUGAGUUUUUGCAUUGCAAAGGGAAGAAGUUUACAGAUUUUGAUGAGGUUCGUCAGGAAAUUGAGGCAGAGACAGAUCGCAUCACUGGCCAAAACAAAGGCAUUUCACCAGUCCCUAUCAGUCUGCGCGUCUAUUCGCCUCAUGUUUUGAAUCUCACCCUUGUGGACUUGCCUGGUAUGACCAAAGUGCCGGUAGGGGACCAGCCGCAUGACAUUGAGUUUCAGAUCAGGGAUAUGCUAAUGCAGUUUGUGACUAAGGAGAACUGCUUGUUGCUGGCUGUGUCUCCGGCCAACUCUGACCUGGCCAACUCAGAUGCCCUCAAGAUUGCCAAGGAGGUGGACCCUCAGGGUAUGAGAACUAUAGGUGUGAUCACUAAAUUGGAUCUAAUGGAUGAAGGAACCGAUGCACGUGACAUUCUGGAGAACAAGCUUCUUCCUUUACGUAGAGGCUACAUUGGGGUUGUGAACCGCAGUCAGAAGGACAUUGAUGGCAAGAAGGACAUCACUGCUGCAAUAGCAGCGGAGAGGAAGUUCUUUCUCACCCAUCCAGGCUACCGACACCUGGCCGAUCGCAUGGGGACUCCGUACCUGCAGAAAAUUCUUAACCAGCAAUUAACUAACCACAUCCGAGACACUCUGCCAGGACUGAGGAACAAGCUUCAGAGCCAACUACUGUCCAUUGAGAAAGAGGUGGAGGAGUACAAGCACUUCCGCCCCGAUGAUCCUUCUCGCAAAACCAAGGCUCUGCUACAGAUGGUGCAGCAGUUUGCGGUGGAUUUUGAGAAGUGCAUUGAGGGUUCAGGAGAUCAGGUGGACACAGUGGAGCUGUCUGGAGGUGCGAGGAUCAAUCGCAUCUUUCAUGAGCGCUUCCCCUUCGAGCUGGUUAAGAUGGAGUUUGACGAGAAAGAGCUGCGUAAGGAGAUCAGUUACGCCAUCAAGAACAUCCACGGUAUCAGAACCGGUCUGUUUACUCCAGACAUGGCCUUUGAGACUAUUGUUAAACGGCAGAUUGGAAAGAUCAAAGAGCCAUGUCAGAAAUGUGUGGACCUUGUCAUCACUGAGCUGGUCAAUACAGUCAGGCAGUGCACCAAGAAGCUGGCUCAGUACCCCAUGCUUAGAGAGGAAAUGGAGAGGAUUGUCACCCAGCACAUCCGAGAUCGAGAGAGUCGCACCAAGAAUCAGGUCAUGUUGCUAAUUGACAUCGAGUUAGCCUACAUGAACACCAAUCAUGAGGACUUCAUCGGUUUUGCAAAUGCCCAGCAGAGAAGCAGUCAGAUGAAUAAGAAGAAGGCUGCUGGCAAUCAGGAUGAGAUAAUGGUGAUCAGAAAGGGUUGGCUGACCAUCAAUAAUAUUGGCAUCAUGAAAGGAGGAGCGAAGGAAUACUGGUUUGUCCUGACUGCUGAGAAUCUGUCCUGGUACAAAGAUGAUGAGGAGAAAGAGAAGAAGUACAUGCUGCCAUUAGACAACCUGAAGCUCAGAGAUAUAGAGAAGAGUUUCAUGUCCAGCAAGCACGUGUUUGCUCUCUUUAACACCGAACAAAGGAACGUGUAUAAAGACUAUAGGCAGCUUGAGCUGGCUUGCGACACUCAAGAGGAGGUGGACAGCUGGAAGGCGUCCUUCCUACGAGCUGGAGUUUACCCAGAGCGCAUCACUGAUAAAGAGAAGCAGAGUGAUGCUAGUGAGGAGAACGGCUCAGAUGGCUUUAUGCACUCCAUGGAUCCUCAGCUUGAGAGGCAGGUGGAGACCAUCAGGAACCUUGUGGAUUCCUACAUGGCCAUUGUCAAUAAGACUGUGCGGGACCUCAUGCCCAAGACCAUCAUGCAUCUCAUGAUCAACAACACUAAGGAAUUCAUCCAUGCUGAGUUGUUGGCUAACUUGUACUCAUGUGGAGACCAGAACUCUCUGAUGGAGGAGUCAGCAGAACAGGCUCAGCACAGGGAGGAGAUGCUGCGCAUGUACCACGCUCUGAAAGAGGCCCUCAACAUCAUCGGGGACAUCAGCACCAGCACCGUCACCACUGCCAUGCCCCCGCCGGUGGAUGACUCCUGGCUGCAGGUACAAGGAGGACCUUCAGGGCGCAGAUCUCCCAUGUCUAGUCCCACUCCCCAGCGUCGGGCCCCACCUGGGCCCCCUCGUCCAGGUGGACGCACCGCCCCAGGGCCCCCUACCGCUGGAGCACCUCCUGUGCCAUCCAGACCUGGAGCCUCUCCUGACCCUUUCAGCGCCCCCCCGCCCCAAGUCCCCUCUCGUCCCAACCGCGGCCCACCAGGUGUCCCAAGCCCUUCUGCCCUGACCUGAUCCCUGGUCUUUAACACAAGAAAGACAGAUCAGUAACACUCUUCCUGCUAUUUCUACUUCUCUCGCCUGUCACAAUCCAUUACUUUUUCUCAGCUCACACUCACACAUUUUUUUCAACUACGCUGGUUUUCUUUCUCCAUCUCCUUGCCAUGUGCAUAUUCAUUCAAACAUUGUUUUAAAUCAUUCAGUUCACGUAUUGUUUGUACUAUAUAGUAUCAUCAGUGCAUCAGCUUUGUGAGAUCAUUCUCUCAUGAUAUACAUGUUUGGGAGGAAAAUGUAAGGGAAACUGACCAGUUAAACGGGACAAACCAUGGAGAUGAUACGUUUUUGCUUCCUUCCAUUGCCUCUUUUCUGUCGACCCAUGUUCUCCUCAAACACAGUCCCACUAAAUCCCUUCCACAAUGAUUCCGGUUAUUGUUUCAGAAUUUCAAUCAGUGACCAAUGAGGAGUUACGCAAAUGUCGGAGAGCGCCAGCCUCCCCCACCAGAUCCAACAGAGACUCGAUCACUGAGCAUUAACACUGGUGAUCAGCAGACAGAGGAAAACCACUGACCCCUCUGCCACUAUAUCACAUGCAUGCACACAAGCACAGUCCACAUACAUAUCACAUGUUUACUUGAAAGAGUAUUUACUCUUCCACAAAUAUACACCGGGAAUAUUAUAAAUUGAUCUAAUAAUUGUAUACAUGAGCGCAGAUGUGGUGCCAUUAUAUUCCAUUACCAGCAUAUAUCCUGUAUUUAGGAAUGAAGAACACUAGUUACAGAUGCACAGGGAUUGUCCAUGUACCAGCCUAUUUCACUGUUUGCUUCAGCAUUUAUGCACAUGGAUGCUAGAUGACAUUGUCAUGUUUUUGCCUUUAUUAGCAACUACUAAGCCUUAACCAGCAUCUGACUGACCAGUUCUUAACCCCUGAAUAAACAUGACCUGCAUGCUUUUCUUAAAAAAUACCAUGCUACUUGUCCUACUGCUUCAUUAAAUUCUAUGUUGCAGUCAUAUUUUCUUUCUUAAAGUAAGUUUCAUCUUACUCUUCUGGAUUUUUAUAUUGCCUUAUAUUAAACAGUUUGGAUUAUUUCAUUUUUUUAAAGAUCACCACGUUUUAACAAGUUUUUUGAUUCUGUCUGAAUGUUAUAUUGCACCUUUCUGAGACUGAUUAACUUUAAAAAGCGUUAACAGUAAAUCAUACAAAAAAAAUGUAAGCGAGAAUUGGUUCAUAUUCAGAACUGGUUUCAAUUUUUAAAAAUUCAUAAAAGUUCAUAAGACGUGUAGUUAAAAAUAAAGUAGAUUUUAUACGAUUUGUCUGGAGAAUUUGCUAUAAAAAAUGAAUAAAUUCAAUGUUUUGACCAUUUUCGUUAAACUAAAUUGUUAUUUGGCAGUAAAAAUUGCAUCUUUUUUUUACCCCAAAAAACUAAAAGAAUUGUUACGGAAUCAGAAUCAUUUAGAGGAAUCACAGCUGGAGCUGUUAAAUUCUAUAUAUCUGAAAAGAGAAAAAAACAUAUGUGACCCUGGACGACAAAACCAGUCUUAAGUGUCAAUUUUUUUCGAAAUUGAGAUUUAUACAUCAUCUGAAUAAAUAAGCUUUCCAUUGAUGUAUGGUUUGUUAGGAUCGGACAAUAUUUGGCUGAGAUACAACUAUUUGAAAAUCUGGAAUCUGAGGGUGCAAAAGAAGUUUAAAGUUGCCCAAAUGAAGUUCUUAGCAAUGCAUAUAACUAAUCAAAAAUUAAGUUUUGAUACAUUUACGGUAAGAAAUUUACAAAAUAUCUUCAUGGAUCAUGAUCUUUACUUAAUAUCAUAAUGAUUUUUGGCAUCAAAGAAAAAUGGAUAAUUUUGACCCAUACAAUGUAUUUUUGGCUAUUGCUACAAAUAUACCCCAGUGACUUAAGGUCCAGUGUCACAUAUAUUCUUCACAUUUGUCAUCACCAUCACAUUCACAAGUGCUAAUAUUAUCUUAAGUGAACAAAACAAGCCAUCAUACCCACUUGACAUUGACAAACCCAUUCUCCUUACUAUCCAUGCUGUCAUUUCCCAAGCUUUUUUCCUUUUUUUUUUUUUUGUUUUAUUUGUUGUUCUUUUUUGUCUUUUAGCCGCCCAAACAAAGGAAGCCCUUCUCACAGUGAGAAUCCACAAACUUCAUUUGACUCUUAGAGUCAAUCGUCCUUCCUCCUCCUCCUCCCCUCUUUCUGUCUCUCCACCGCCUCUCUUUCUCUUUGCUUUUCCUCUGACCAAGUGCAUCCUGGGAUUGCUGAAUGCCGAGCGUUACUGCAGCAGCAAGUACGGAUGAAGUGACUGAAAGAAAAGGCAGAAAGAUAAAUGAAGAAUGCGGGAGAGCACAUUCCCUCUGUCUGUACUAUAUACACUAAUCACAUUGUAAGGGGCAUCUGAAUAAUACGCCCAGUGUGGACUUGUGUCAACAUACAAAGUCACUGCAAUGUUAAUUAUACUGAAGAUGCUGUGUGGUGUUUGUGUUUACACACUAGUCAACGUCGACUUGAUCUAUAUAGAGGUGUUACACGAGCUAAAGGUGUAAGCUUACAUUCCUGUCUGCACGCCAGUAUACAGGAUAGCGGAUACACAAAUAUAAACUUCACUAUUUUUGCACUUGUUAUGUGGUACUAUGUGUGAAUGUACUCUUCCUGAAAGUUUGAACGUUAUUUGAUCCCACAGUGUUUGUUUUGGCCACAAUGUAUCUUGUAUAUUCCCUAGCAAAAGUCCUGUCUGAUUGAAAUGUACAUAUAUUAGAAUAUAUAUAUAUUAUGAAGUGUCUGGUAUGAAAAAAAGUCUCAGAAUUAUGUUUGUUACUUUCAAGUCGGUGCGAUUUAUUUAUCUGUUGAUGCAGUAGUUGAAAAUGUCCGACCAAAGAGAAUGGUUAGUGAAUCAAUCUGUCUGCAGUUGGAAUGUUAUUGAUAAAUAAAUUCAAGAAUCCUUCAUACCCUGACAUGAGUUUAAAUGAAUAUAACAUCUGUUCUGACUGAUUAUAUGGUGAACAGAUUCUGUUACUGUGUUGAUGUAUAUUUGUUGUGCAUCUCUGGGAGUUGUGCUUCUGUUGCCUUGUGUCAUGUACAUUUACUAAGUAUUGAUAAUGAAGUCAUUAUAUUGAAAAUGAACUGAUUGUAAAAUACAAGUUUACGGUUAGUAUGUGUGUGUAUAUACAUACUGUAUAUGGAGGGGUCUGCGGGCAACACCAAAAUCUCCACUCUGUAGUGGAACGGGUGUGUGUGUGAAUCUUACUACUGCCAUGUGUAUCUUAUUGUGGUCUGGUGUCAUAAACUGGCCAAUGCUUUGUGAUGAAAUUAAAGUGUCUUUGUG